rnacentral:rRNA from 1 species
UACGUAGGGUGCAAGCGUUAAUCGGAAUUACUGGGCGUAAAGCGUGCGCAGGCGGUUUGUUAAGACAGAUGUGAAAUCCCCGGGCUUAACCUGGGAACUGCGUUUGUAACUGGCAAGCUAGAGUGUGGCAGAGGGGGGUGGAAUUCCAAGUGUAGCAGUGAAAUGCGUAGAUAUUUGGAGGAACACCAAUGGCGAAGGCAGCCCCCUGGGUUAACACUGACGCUCAUGCACGAAAGCGUGGGGAGCAAACAGG